rnacentral:rRNA from 1 species
AUUGAACGCUGGCGGCAGGCCUAACACAUGCAAGUCGAACGAGUGGCGGACGGGUGAGUAAUGUCUGGGAAACUGUCUGAUGGAGGGGGAUAACUACUGGAAACGGUAGCUAAUACCGCAUACCAUCGGAUGUGCCCAGAUGGGAUUAGCUAGUAGGUGGGGUAAGGGCUCACCUAGGCGACGAUCCCUAGCUGGUCUGAGAGGACGACCAACGAGACGGGACCUGUGACACGGUCCAGACACCAACGGGAGGCAGCAGUGGGGAAUAUUGUACAAUGGGCGAAAGCCUGAUGCAGCCAUGCCGCGGGUAUGAAGAAGGCCUUCGGGUUGUAAAGUACUUUCAUCGGGGAGGCGUUACCCGCAGAAGAAGCACCGGCUAACUCCGUGCCAGCAGCCGCGAUAAUAC